rnacentral:rRNA from 1 species
ACACAUGCAGUCGAGCGGAAACGAGUUAACUGACCCUUCGUUGACGUUAACGGCGUCGAGCGGCGGACGGGUGAGUAAUGCCUGGGAAAUUGCCCUGAUGUGGGGGAUAACCAUUGGAAACGAUGGCUAAUACCGCAUAAUGCCUUCGGGCCAAAGAGGGGGACCUUCGGGCCUCUCGCGUCAGGAUAUGCCCAGGUGGGAUUAGCUAGUUGGUGAGGUAAUGGCUCACCAAGGCGACGAUCCCUAGCUGGUCUGAGAGGAUGAUCAGCCACACUGGAACUGAGACACGGUCCAGACUCCUACGGGAGGCAGCAGUGGGGAAUAUUGCACAAUGGGCGCA